CGGCUGUUUCUCAUUAGAAGCCAGAAACUUAUUUGUUCCUGCCCCAUGCCAUCCCCUUUUGAUUCAGGCUUCUGAUACCAUGGCACUGCAGUUUGAAAUAUGACCUGCUCUUCUUGGGAAAAUGUCAUUUUAACUGAGUGGAGAGGAUGUGCCCCUUCUACCCACAUCCUAUUUCCUCUUUUGAAAACAAUGAGUUUGCCGGGCAUGGUGGCACACGCCUGUAAUCCCAGCACUCGGGAGGCUGAGGCAGGAGGAUCACCGCAAGUUCGAGGCCAGCCUGGGCUAUGAAGGGAGACCCUGCCUCAAAAAAACCAAAAAAUACAAAAUAAAAAAUAAACA